UAUAUAUUCUGGAUAUAAAUUCUUUGUCAGUUAUACGAUUUUUCAAAUACUUUUUCCCAGUCAUUGAUUUAUUUUUCCAUUCUCUCAACAGUGUCUUUUGGAAGAGCAGAAAAUUUUAACUUUGAGGAAGUACCAUUUAUAAUUUAUUUAGGGUUAAGAUGUUUUUAUUGAUAUCCUAUCUAAGAAAGGUUUACCUAUUCACAGUCACAAGGAUUUACUCCUGUCUUUUCUUGUAGGAGUUUAUACAUUUGGAUUUUAUAGUUAGGUCUCAGAUUCAGUUUGAAUUGAUUUUGUAUGUUGUGAUAUAUGGAUUACAGUUUAUUUUUGUGUAUAUGGAUAUCUACUUAUUACAGAACCAUUUGUUGAAAAGACUAUUUACUUUUUCACUGAAUAGUCUUUACAUCAUUGUCAAAAAAUCAGUUGUCCGUGUGUUCAUGGGUUUACUUCUGGAUUCCUUAUUCUGUCCUUUUGAUCUACUUUUCCCCUUCAAUGGUAAUAGCACACUGUCUUGAUUACUGUAGGUUUAUAAUGAGUUUUGAAAUUAGGUAGUGUUUGUCCUAUACCUUUGUUCUUUUUUACAGUUGUUUUUCACAGUUUAGGUGUUUUGUAUUUGUAUAUGAUUUUAACAUCCACUUGCCAAUUUCUUUGAAAAAUAUAUAGAAUAUUUAUUGGGAUUGCACUGAAUCUGUAUAUUAGUUUGUGGGGAAUAAACGUCUUAACAAUACUGAGUCUUCUGACUCAUGAACACAGUAUGUCCUCUACUUCUUUGGGUCUUCCUUCUCUCAGCAAUGUUUUGUAGUAUUCAAUGUACAAAUGUUCCAUAUCUAUGAGCAGAUAAUUCAAAAAUAUUUCAUACUUAUUGAUGCCGCUGUCAAUGGCAUUAUUUCUUAAAUAGAAUUCUUAAUUAUUACAUUUUCAUGGAACCACCAGCAACCAGAAUUUUAAUAAUGACUAUUGAAGAAUCCUGGUAAAAAGCACAGGCUACUCUAGGAUGAAAAAGAUAUUUGAUGCUUAAUGUGCAUGUACAUGUAUUUCUAUAUUAGCUUUUAGAAAUCAUUGGCAAUACACUGAAACUAGGGAUAAAAAUGUACCCCCAGCAGUUCUACAGGUAAUCUCCAGAAAAAUCCAUCACUAAAAUAAUAUAGGUUAGUAGCUUUCAACUUUAUGUUUCUGCUAUAUUUGAAUAUGUUAAAAUGUGAGGUUGUAUUUUUUUGUCCCCAGUAAACCCACCUUAAAAAAUUCCUGGUAUCUUGGAUGGUGAGAGAGCAUUGGGGAGAGGGCAUGCAUCCAUAUGAGUAUUUGUGAAUGUAUCAAUUUGUAUGUUGCUGAAGCUGCCAGGAAUGUGUAUUAUGAGGUGUUGAGACUAAUUACCAUGUAUUACGUCAGCGUUAUUCAUUUCCUAGCACAUGUUAGUAACAAGAUAUAGGGGGUUGUUUGUUUUUUCCCAGUGUUCCUUGGCUAGCCUGGUUACCAUGGUGACUCCGUGACUCUUAUGGGAUUUAGCGUAGAGCGAGUAUCCAUUUAUGAUUUUUGCCUGAGUCACUUAUUUUGAUGAUAGUUGUGUUGUUUUACAAUUCUGAUAUUCCUUUCAAAACUAUGAGUUGGCGUUUAGAAACGUCUAAACUUAUCCCUGCUUUCUGUCACAUUUCCAAGUAUUCUCUUUGGUAUUCAUGAUGUGAAUUUUAAUGUCAGAGGCAUCGCACUGACAGAAUGAAGGAGGCAAAGUUGGAGUGGGGAACUUACAUUUGUUGAAGGCCUACUAGAUGCAACACGAUAUGGGUUGUUAUCUUCAGACUUUUUCUCUUCAAAUGCUCAAAGUCAUGCUCUGAGGGUACCAGUUCCUUCAAUUCAGUAAUUUUCAUUCAGUGAUUUAUGUGUGAAGCAUUGAUCUAAGCACUGGGAAAACAGCACAGAGAAGAAGACAAACAUGGUCCCCGGACACAUCAUUCUAGUUUGAGAAAACUGGUAAUAAGCAGAAAAAAUGAUGGAUACAGAAGGAUAGCUGGACGUAAGUGAAAAGUUCCAGAAAACCAUGUCUGGUCCCAUUAAUCAAGCUCCCAACUUGCAUCUCUCCCUGCCCGCUGCUGAGUCCCCUGGUCUACACUCAGAGUUGCAAUCCUGACUCUGGCCACCAAGAGGCAUUACAGCUAUCUCCACGUUCCUUGCUCUUUCUUAAUGAAAAGGGGUAAAUUUUGCAGAGUAAGUAAUGUUAUGAAACUUUUCUUUACUGUGAUACCAGUAGUUCGGAAUACCCAUUUGUAUACUAAAGCAGGCCAAUUUGCUGUUGAUUCCAAAUCUACAGCGCAUUCAGUAAUUUAUCUUUUCCUUCAUUAGUGUAGGUUGAGAUGUCCACACUGUAGGGGGGGUCCCUCCUGGAGAGCAGGGUGUUCACCACCCAUCACUCCAACCCUGUACAGGUUUCUCAGACCUUCUUCCACUCCUUCCCACUGACCCCCUCUCCAGGACAUUAUGGACACAGCUGCCCAGACCCCACUCCAGUGCCUCAUCCUCUCAGUCACUUCCUGCUGCCCUGGGCUCCCCCAAUCCUGCCUCCCAGCAACAGCCCAGGUACAUCAGACCUACGUGGUGUUUCAUCCUAUGGAUGUCCCGCAGUAUGUUUUUACACUCUGUUUUACACCUGUCAGGGUGGGUUUUUUCCCAGACAGAUUUAGAAUCAUUCUGCAGUUCUUUUCAUAGACUGGGUUUUAGGGGAGGCUACCGUAUUUUUCUGCUCCUUGCUUUGUAGAGAAGUUUGAUAAUAGUGGUACAGUGAUGCCCCCUCAUGACAGAAGCCUGAACUGCAGCAGCUUGAACAUCGCUGAGCAGGAAGGUGGGAGGGAGGUGCUGUGGCCCAUGCACACUCUGCAGAGUUUUCCGGAAGUGUGGGUAGAAAAAGGGGCAUUCCCACUGUACAGGGGUACUGAUGGCCACCAGACAGAAAGUGUAGCCUCUUCAUGUGCUAUGUGAAAGCACAAAAUGAUCACUUCUAUGUUUAUGCUUUCAAACCUCUGGAUAAGUAGCUAUAGACCUAUAUAAGCAAAAAUGCAUCUUGGCCACUAAAUGAUCUUUGUGACCCACAUUUGCCCUCAUUGUGGUCAUCUUUGCAUACACAUGCGUUUCCAUAAUAAUGUUUUAAGUUUCUUUCCAAAAAUAAUUGUAGUCUCUUUUUUUAUCAACCAGGUGGUUCAUCACGUGGGUGCCCCAAAAUUCAUUUAAUUAGUGUCCUAGUCAUAAAAAUGUAGUUGCUUUAACAUUUUUUCCUGUUACAAACAAUAGUAUACUUAAUAUCCUCCUCAUAUAUAUGCAAAUAUAUUUGUAAGUAUUUCUGUCAAAAAAAAAAAAGUUCCUGGAAGUGGUCUUUCAAAACCCUGGAAACUGUAAAAUUUUAUGUUAACAUAAUGAAAUCCAAAUACUAUUUCUAACUUAUAUUCCUUACAUAACAGUAUGUAAGGACCUUGUGUCUUCACACAUUAGAAAUAAUGUGAAUCACUGCUAAUCGUAUGGGCAACAAAUCACCUCUCAUCGUUAUCUUCAUUAAAACUUGUUUUGCUGAAUUCUAGAAUUCCAUCCUAUGGAUAUGAUAUCAGUUUUCUCAAACCUGUGUUAUUCAGAUUCCCUGUUAUCUACACUGUGUGGAAGACAUCUUUUCAGAGUCUGUGCAUGGCUGAACGGCACAGUUCCUGUAGCUGUUUACACUGGCCCAGAAAUAAAGGAAAAGAAUUUUCAGAAUGACAGUCCUUAUAACCAGAUGCUUAUCAGCAUCCUUCACAAUGCCCUGAAGAUAAAUUUCUACAAGACCGGCAUUAUGGAAUUUGAGAAAGAAUACUACAGAGUUGAAGUGCCCUUCUUAUCACGUAAUAUUUGGGUUUACAUGAUGAUGUGACCUCACUGGUGAUGUUAACCUUCAUCACGUAGUUAAAGCAGUGUUUGCCAAGUUUUCCAGUGUACGGUAACUUUUUCAAUUCAUGUACUCUCUUCCUGAGAAGUGAGUCACUAAGUGUGACCUAUAUUCAGGGGUUGAAAUAGAAUUAAGCUUCACCUCUUGGAGGGUUAAUAGCUACAAAUACUAUUUGGAAUCAUUCCAUAAAGACAGUUUGUCUUCUCACACGCUUUUCUUUAUUAAUUCACCAAACAUUUACUUAUAUCAGUAUGAAUUUAUACAUACUUAUUUUAAAGUGGAAAUAUUUUAUUUAAUAGAUAUAUCCCAAAAAAAUUCCAGCAUCAUUUCAGUGGUACACUAAAAGAAUUUUGACUUAACUAUCAGGAAACUGCAAAAGAGCUCCCUAUCACCGCAAUUAUAUUUCAUCACUAUAUUUUCUAAUUGUGAUAUAUUAGUGCUUUUAGACAAUAUUUUUAAUCAUGGCAAAGUUUGGAACAGCAUUAUAAUUUCACAUUAUUUCAUUGCCUACUCGGUACCCCUUGAGAAAGAAAUAAAAAACAGAUAAGGCAAGAUUAUUGAAGUAGCCAUAAAAAUUACUGCUAACAUAAAGUAAACCUAUUUAUGAACUCCCCAUCAAUGAAUCAAAAGUAUAAGCUAUGUCAGGUAAAAUGUAUGCUUCAUUUGAAAGCAUGUCAUCUACAGCUCAGCCUUCUGGUUAUCUGACUCUGAACGCUGUUAUACAACUCUACCUUUUAGGUAACUGAUAGCAUUGCAUACUAUCUUUGUCUAUAGACACAAGGAAAUGAAUUCUGUCUUGAGGGAGGGAAACCUUUUCCUCCUGGGGAAAUACCCAUUUAUCUCCAUUUGAACAUUUAUUUCAACACUCUUGAUCUAUAAAUGUGACAAAGAGGUGGCUGUAGACUUGGGAGAGUUCAAGUUCAGUGGAAGGAUGGGGGAGCUAAGCCCCAUUAGAUAAGAAAUGAAGACUGAGGUGUAGGGAAGUGCGGAGGGAAGUGAGCUGAGUAUUGAGAAUUCUUCAUAGAAUAUUGAUUGCAAAUGGGAGAAUAUAUGUAAAGAGAACAUCAACUAAAGAUGUAGAAAUGGCUCCAUGGCACUGAAUUAUGUUUUACAAUCAUCAGUGAUGAGUCUCUAUGAUUAAUCUGUUAGUGGGAAGGAGCCAUCUCUUCUGAGAUCUGCCAUCUGAAUUUACCACACCCUCCUUUCCACACUUCACUUUCUUGUUUCUCUUCUGGGGAAGCCUAAAACUUAACCAAAGGGAUGGUGUAGAGUUUGGUCUUAAUGCCUAGUAACUGUUAACUGAGGAAUGACUGAAUGGGUGGAUGCACGAUGUGUCAAACAUGUGCUGAUAAUUCACAAAUUUUUAUCUCCCAGCACAGAGCUUUUAUGCAGAUGACUGAACCCAUGGAGUUAGGUGGCUAAGAGGAUGCAGCUCCCCAGGUCCCUACAACUGAUGGCAGCAAGAUGGGAGCACCCAGCUACAGUGUUCAGAAGUAGAUUUAGGCCGACUACCACACCUUACAUGCUGGAGGGAUCCCCCCUGACCUGAGCAGUGUGACACGGGUAAAGGAAUUUCUUAUUGAGCCCCAGGAAGAAGAAACACUACAUAAGAGCAAAUAAUAAAAUCGGUCAGAUAGACAGAAGAUGGGAGUCAUCAAACCUGUAUCCCUGUUGCCAGACCUACAACUGACCAUAGGACAUUCACUUGGUCCAGAGAGCUGCCUUAGACUCUCCGAUGAAUCUGUUCAAACAGCUGCCUCUGUUACCUUGACUUCUCUCAGAUUUUGUCGACCUGAGUUCUUUGCUGAGUGAGACUGUGACUCAACUUUUACCCCAAACCCAGCUGUGUUAGGAUCCUUCCUCUCUGGAGCUGUGGUGCUGAACCCUGGAUGGUUUCAUGCAGUCCCUCCCUCUUUCCCGCCCCUGUGGCAGUCACUGCUUGGCUAACUAGGGAGGCAGCAGGUGGCUGAAAUCCUAGUGUGAUGUGGCUGGAUCACGCAUGAUCUGAGGACUCCUGCACAGCUGACUGUAGGAUGAGUACAGAAUUUUUCUAUAAAUAUACUAAAAUACCAAGUAAGCCAGGAGCAGCCACUAGGCAAACACCAAACCUUGCAUUCCUGGCCAGACCUAUCACAGAGCUCAUCAGGUAAGUUCAAAGACACACUUGUCUUCCCAGCAUUGGGAACUGGAUUGGGUCUGCUCAGAGGCAUGAUGUUGACCAGAUUUUAUGAAACACCCAAGAAUGUAGAGAACAUUCUGUUUCUAAAACUUUGAAUUCAAAUCAUAUCAGAGAGAUUUGCUUUCCUUAUAUGGAUGUCUGUGUUCUCAUUAGGAGAGAAACAAUGAAAAAGACUUUUCACAAUGCCUGCCUUAGCCCUGAGGCUCAGCCAGCCCCCACUUCUAUGUCUCAGCAUUUAAAGGGCCAUUGAAGUCCCACGCCAUGCUAUGUAUUCUCAAGAGGUUUUCUCAUUUACCCCUCAGAACAACUCUGUAAAGAUGGUAUGGUCAGUCCCAUUUCACAGAUGACUAAGCUCAGGCUCACAGAGUCUAAGUCACCUCUCCAGGUAAGUGGCAAGGUUGGAAUGAGAUUCCAUCCCUCACCCUUCCUAGAGAACCCUGAGCAACUUCCAUUUUAGAAGAUGGACUUCCAGGGCUUGAGAAAUGGUCAGAUUCCCCCCUGAUAUUGUGGCCCCACAGGUCCUCACUCCACAACUCCUCUGGGUGAUAAGGAAGACAGAAGAGGUGAAAUCCUGCACUUUGUGCCAUGAGAUCUGUGUGUAGGGCCACAUGAGUUGGCUAAUCCUUGAAGUGGUGAGUGGGCUCAGGCAGAAGCUCAGCUAUUGGCCUUCGGACAGUCUGAUAAUGGUGCUACGUUAGUGCCCCCUCGUGACAGAAGCCUAAACUGCAGCUUGAACAUCCGGGAGCAGGAAAAGGGGAGGAAGGGGCUGUGGCCCAAGCCCACCCCACAGAGCUUUCCCACCGAGCUCCUCACACAGGUGACUGAACCCAUGGUUUUGGUGUCUGAGAAGAUGCAGCUUCUCCAGUCUCUGUAACUGAUGUCAGGAAGAUGGGAGCACUCAGCUUCAGUGUUCAGAAGCAGAUUUAGGCUGACUGCCAUACCUUACAUCCUGGAGGGAUCCACCCCGACUUGAGCAGGUGAGAUUACAGAAAGGCUUGCUUUCCAUCACAGGGACAGUAUUACAGCCUGCUCAGAAGCAUGUUGUGGUCCAGCUCUUGUGUCAUUUAAAAAGACUCCAGCUCUUCUCUAAUACUGAAUUCAACUAAUAUCACAGAGAGAUGUUCUUAAUCUUCUAGACAAACACGCUGCCAUCAGUAUCCCCCAGAGGCCACAAACACACCCUGGAACCAUAAUGCCACCAGUAGCUCUAGGAGAACUUGCAGGCUAAUGUGCCUGUUGCUCAUUGUUUUUAGGCUACAUAUGAAAAUGGACCAGUUUGCAAUAAAAAUAUAAUGCAAUGAUGAUUAUCAGAGCAUUUUGUGUACUAGGGAAUUUUUUAAGUUAUCUGAACACCAAAUUAAAUAUAAUGACAAUGAAAGAAUUUCCACCUGUCAUAUCAUCAAAGUAUAAAAAGAAACCAUUCAGGAUUCCAGUAAGGUGGGCAUGCGGGGAAGUCUACCCUGUUUCAUAUUGGUGGUGGGGAUGUCAUUUAGUACAACCUCUUUCCAGGUUGAUUUGGUAAUUUCUAUUAAAGACUCUAUGUAUCCCCCAUCUGCAUGUGUUUGGGGACUGCUCCUUCAAGUAUUCAUCCUCAGCAUGACCCCUGCCCCUCUGAGAGUGCAUAUUCUUCCUGACACAGGAACUGUCUGCAGACUCCAGUUUCUAAAGCAAUGGCCCAGACACACUCCCUUGUCUACAGAGUAGGAAACUUAGGUCUGACAAGGCUCUCUGUCUUUCAGAAGAGAGACAGAACUGGCAGACUGGCUUCAGAGCUGAAGAUACAGAUUUCAGUAGUGACCUGGGUCAGCAGGAAAGCAAGAUUUACUUGGUUAUGGUGUGAUGUGCAGCUCAGCAUCAGUCUGCCUGGGGGCAUAUAGGGUGCAGGUCUCUGCUUUUCCACUUAGUGGCAGGAUGCUUCCCAGCCAGGCUGCUUAACCUGCAAACAUCACUGUUUCUUCAGCUACAGGAUGGUGUAGAGAUUAUAUCCUCUACCUCCCAGGAAUGUUGUGAGAAAUUCAUGAGAUAGAAAAGUACCAGCGUUCAGGAAGGGUGAGUCCCCAAGGCUUCCUGAGGCCAGAGAUACUGCUCUUCUGCGGUACUUUAUUUAUAAUCACCCUAUGACAAUGCACAAAUAAAUGGUCAUUCAGUUACAAGAGUGCAAGGACUUAUAUUUACUCAGUUCAUCCAAUAUAGAUUAUUAUAAUAUUCACAAUGUAAAUUGGAAAGUAACUACAUGGAAAUCAGUUCUUCUUCCUUCCCAUCUAAGGUCUCAGAAGUGCUUUCCCAGAUGUCAUCUCAUUAACCUCUAUAUUGAUCUGAGAUUUGUUAACCAAAACUGGCCAGUACAGGGGAAAUGACUCACCUAAAGUCUUAUAAUGGGCCUGGCCCCGCCAUGUUCUAUUGCAAUGUUUUUCUGCAAACCCUCAUCUUGCGAGGUUACAUUAUGUAUAUUUUUCUUUUUCUUUUCAUUUUACCAAAAGAGAAAAAUAUAUACCUUUUUAUUGUUAAGAAAUGUUUUCUCAAAUAAGUACUUAUUUCAUUCCUUACUGAAAUGGUUUUUUCUUACUGAUCCAUUGAAACCAUGUUGGCUAUGUUCAACAUAACUAGAGAUAUCUUUGGCGUUUUCCUCCCUUAGCUUCAUAUCUUGUAGAACAUCUUGUACAAAAAAAGUAGAUUUAUAGAAAAACAUACAUAUAAAUCACGAAUGAAUCCUCAAAUGUAGUAAAAUAACAUAGCAAAAACUAUCAAAUCCAUUUCAUGCACAAACUGGACAGAUCUGUUACAUAUAAUCUCUAUAUGCAUCUGCAGUGUUUUAUAAAUUGGUGCUUUGACUUUAAAAGGAGGUUUACAAAAAGGCCCGUCUUGUAGUAUCAAUGACUAAAUUAUCUCACUAUCAUUGCAUCUCAAAUUCCCUUGAAUUUAUACUCAUCACUGCCAUAUCACCAUUCUUACAAAGGCAGUAA